UACGUAGGGUGCGAGCGUUAAUCGGAAUUACUGGGCGUAAAGCGUGCGCAGGCGGUCUGUUAAGACCGAUGUGAAAUCCCCGGGCUUAACCUGGGAACUGCAUUGGUGACUGGCAGGCUUUGAGUGUGGCAGAGGGAGGUAGAAUUCCACGUGUAGCAGUGAAAUGCGUAGAGAUGUGGAGGAAUACCGAUGGCGAAGGCAGCCUCCUGGGCCAACACUGACGCUGAGACGCGAAAGCUAGGGGAGCAAACAGG
rnacentral:rRNA from 1 species